AUUGAACGCUGGCGGCAUGCUUUACACAUGCAAGUCGAACGGUAACAGGCCGCAAGGUGCUGACGAGUGGCGAACGGGUGAGUAAUGCAUCGGAACGUGCCCAGUCGUGGGGGAUAACGCAGCGAAAGCUGCGCUAAUACCGCAUACGAUCUAUGGAUGAAAGCGGGGGACCGUAAGGCCUCGCGCGAUUGGAGCGGCCGAUGUCAGAUUAGGUAGGUGGUGGGGUAAAGGCCUACCAAGCCAACGACCUGUAGCUGGUCUGAGAGGGCGACCAGCCACACUGGGACUGAGACACGGCCCAGACUCCUACGGGAGGCAGCAGUGGGGAAUUUUGGACAAUGGGCGCAAGCCUGAUCCAGCAAUGCCGCGUGCAGGAAGAAGGCCUUCGGGUUGUAAACUGCUUUUGUACGGAACGAAAAGGCUCUGGUUAAUACCUGGGGCUCAUGACGGUACCGUAAGAAUAAGCACCGGCUAACUACGUGCCAGCCGCCGCAGUAAUAC
rnacentral:rRNA from 1 species